UACGGGGGGGGCGAGCGUUAUUCGGAAUUAUUGGGCGUAAAGGGCGUGUAGGCGGCCUCGCGUGUCCUCUGUGAAAGCCCUCGGCUCAACCGAGGAACUGCAGGGGAAACUGUGGGGCUCGAGUCCGGGAGAGGAGAGCGGAAUUCCCAGUGUAGCGGUGAAAUGCGUAGAUAUUGGGAGGAACACCAGUGGCGAAGGCGGCUCUCUGGACCGGUACUGACGCUAAAGCGCGAAAGCUAGGGGAGCAAACGGG
rnacentral:rRNA from 1 species